CAGAGUUGUAAAACUCCCAACCCAUGUGAACAUACCUCUGUUGCCUCGGCGGCCUACCCGGUAGCUACCCUGUAGUUACCCUGUAGUCCGCCGGCGGAAUACAACAAAACUCUUGUUUAUAUAUUAUCUCUGAGAAAAACUUAAUAAGUUA
rnacentral:misc_RNA from 1 species